UACGUAGGGCGCAAGCGUUAUCCGGAAUUAUUGGGCGUAAAGAGCUCGUAGGCGGUUUGUCGCGUCUGCCGUGAAAGUCCGGGGCUCAACUCCGGAUCUGCGGUGGGUACGGGCAGACUAGAGUGAUGUAGGGGGAGACUGGAAUUCCUGGUGUAGCGGUGAAAUGCGUAGAUAUCGGGAGGAACACCAGUGGCGAAGGCGAGUCUCUGGGCUGAUACCGACGCUGAGGCGCGAAAGCCAGGGGAGCAAACGGG
rnacentral:rRNA from 1 species